UGGUUACGUAUUCCGUGCGGGAGAUCGUUUGAAGCAGUUUGAAGUUAUUUGAAAUUUUGAUCGCCAUGUUGUAACCACGAGUUAAUGGCAAGCUUUUGUCAUAAUAAAUUUUACUAAUGGCUACGACUGAUAUAUCGAACUUCGAUGAAGAACCUAAGAUUAACUACAAACGAAGAUCGUCGAUCUUUUACACACGAAUCAUAAUGUGUGAUCAAGAUGAAGAUAAUAAAACUAUAGCUAAUGAAAAUGAUAUACCGAGUAAGGAAGAAGAGUGUAAUAUGAAGAAAGAGGUUUUAAUGAAAGAAUAUAUAGAAAAACUCACACAAGAGAAAAAGGAUUGGCAACAAGAAUACAAGAAUCGUAAAUCUCAAUGCAGAAAUCUGAUCAAGCAGAAAACAAGUAUGGAGACGCAAGGGCAGGCUCUUGAUUUAAAUUUAUUGACAGAAUCUGAUAGAGCUUUCUUGUUGGAACGGCCCAAUUAUGAAUAUAUCUGUAGAAAUAAUCAGAAACUAUUAGAUAUGACAUUAAAGAUAUCUGUACUUAGUGAGAUUGUACACAAAUUUAACCUGAAAUUUAUGGAGAAAAUGCAGGAUAACAUGUCUAAAGCCAUCAAAAACCUUAUAAAAAUGUCAGAACAGUGAGACAGAGUCCGCUUCAAAAUCAUGAUUCUUAAACGAUGCUGAUUGAUGAAGCGAAUGGCUUUGACCUGUAAUAUGGUAUCAUUAUCAGUAUCAGAACCUGGCAGCACCUUUACCUGUUAUCACUGGAUCUAUCUCUAUCUUCUCGCCUGAUAUUCCUAAAUGAAUCUCAGUCUUUGCUCGCAUUU